rnacentral:rRNA from 1 species
UUCGGGGUACGCGAGCGGCGAGGGGUGAGUAACACUUGGGUGAUCUGCCUUGCACUUCGGGAUAAUCCUGGGAAACUGGGUCUAAUACCGGAUAUGACCUUGGAAUGCAUGUUCUGGGGUGGAAAGAUUUAUCGGUGCGAGAUGGGCCCGCGGCCUAUCAGCUUGUUGGUGAGGUAACGGCUCACCAAGGCGACGACGGGUAGCCGACCUGAGAGGGUGACCGGCCACACUGGGACUGAGACACGGCCCAGACUCCUACGGGAGGCAGCAGUGGGGAAUAUUGCACAAUGGGCGAAAGCCUGAUGCAGCGACGCCGCGUGCGGGAUGACGGCCUUCGGGUUGUAAACCGCUUUUGACAGGGACGAAGCGCAAGUGACUGUACCUGUAGAAUAAGGACCGGCCAACUACGUGCCAGCAGCCGCGGUAAUACGUAGGGUCCGAGCGUUGUCCGGAAUUACUGGGCGUAAAGAGCUUGUAGGCGGUUCGUCGCGUCGUUUGUGAAAACUUGGGGCUCAACCUUAAGCUUGCAGGCGAUACGGGCGGACUAGAGUACUUCAGGGGAGACUGGAAUUCCUGGUGUAGCGGUGAAAUGCGCAGAUAUCAGGAGGAACACCGGUGGCGAAGGCGGGUCUCUGGGAAGUAACUGACGCUGAGAAGCGAAAGCAUGGGUAGCAAACAGGAUUAGAUACCCUGGUAGUCCAUGCCGUAAACGGUGGGUACUAGGUGUGGGGGCUCCUUCCACGGACUCCGUGCCGUAGCUAACGCAUUAAGUACCCCGCCUGGGGAGUACGGCCGCAAGGCUAAAACUCAAAGAAAUUGACGGGGGCCCGCACAAGCGGCGGAGCAUGUGGAUUAAUUCGAUGCAACGCGAAGAACCUUACCUGGGUUUGACAUACACCGGAAACCUGCAGAGAUGUAGGCCCCCUUGUGGUCGGUGUACAGGUGGUGCAUGGCUGUCGUCAGCUCGUGUCGUGAGAUGUUGGGUUAAGUCCCGCAACGAGCGCAACCCUUAUCUUAUGUUGCCAGCGCGUAAUGGCGGGGACUCGUGAGAGACUGCCGGGGUCAACUCGGAGGAAGGUGGGGACGACGUCAAGUCAUCAUGCACAUUAUGUCCAGGGCUUCACACGCGCUACAAUGGCCGGUACAGAGGCAUGCGAUACCGCGAGGUGGAGUGAAUCCCUUAAAGCCUGUCUCAGUUCGGAUCGGGGU